GUUAUAAAAUAUAGACAUGAUAGUUCAUUAUUUUUUGGAGUUUUACCUUUCAAAUAAAUUUCUUAAAAAGUGAAUCAUUAUUAAUUUUUUUACAUUUUUAGCAGAGAAUUUGUUUUAUUGGAAAGAUAUUUUUUAAGGAAUUGAAGUCUUUAUAUGAUCAUUAUAUUUCAAAGUAUUCAUAGCAUAAACAAUAAAUGGCAAUGCAUGAAGAUGCAAUGGAAGUUGAGGAAGAAAGAGGUUUACACAAUUCACAAUCAAAUUCAAACAAUGAAACAGAAUUUGAAACCAUGAAAGUAAUACAAACAACAACUGUUGUUGAGGGUAACCGGCAAAAACUAGGAAAAAGAGUAAGAUUUGCAAUUGAAGAAAAUGUUAUACAUAACUAUAAAAAUUAUCAGAGGAUGAGUGAAUCAAGUGAAGAUAGUAGCAAAGAUUGUUGCAUGAAUGAAAAAUGUUCCAAGAAUGUCAAAUUAAAAGAAAGUGUAAUUUUUCCUACCAAAUUAUUUGAUAAUGAUAGAAUUCAUGACAAAGACAUAAAUUAUUUAGACUGCCCAUCAAACUGUAUAAAAUUCGAUUUAAAUAUUUCACAGGAUUAAAAAUUAAAUAUUCGUGCAUUUGUUACAAAAUGUAAAAUUAUUUAAGCCGGAAAAUUCCAAUUACAAGCAAAAGAGGCUAUGACAUUCUGUAGAAAACAUAAUUAAUGUUUUCAGCCUAUAACUAUUCAAAAUUGCCUCUGGUCAUAAAUCUUUUAAAACAGGAAAAUAUUUUCAUUAAUAUAUAUAUAUAUAUAUAUAUAACAUAAACACGUAAACGUAUUUAAAUAAAAAUAUAUCAAUUAAUAAAAAAAUUAAUAUGAUAUGUUUUCUUGCAAUCGUUCUGUAUCCUCAAUAAUUGAAAAACUAAUAUCCUUGCACAAUUAAUGAUAAUAAUAUAGAAUAAAUAAAUAAAAAUCAGAGAGAAUUAAGGAAAAACUUACCAAUUAAAUGAUUACUUUAAUUUAUCAAUUUAUAAAUUUUAUUUUUAUUAUAGAUUAAAUUUGAGUGAUUUUUUUUUCAUAUAUUUAUUAUUUUUGUGUUAUUUUCAAAACUUUUAAAGAUGGUUUACAAUAGAAUUUCAAAAAAAAAAAUAGGUAUAGAGAUCUUUAAGAAUAUCUGAUAUUUUACAGUAGCAAUUCUAAGUAAUAAGAUUAUGAGUAACACAAUGAAAUUGUCUAUAUCUAUUUACAAAAAAUUAUGAGUAACACAAUGAAAUUGUCUAUAUCUAUUUACAAAAAAUUAUGAGUAACACAAUGAAAUUGUCUAUAUCUAUUUACAAAAAAUUAUGAGUAACACAAUGAAAUUGUCUAUAUCUAUUUACAAAA